UGUCUUUUAGUUUAAAAUUUAAAGUCCAAUCUGCUCACUGAAAAUUUUAAAGAGCCGCAGUAUUUUGACUGUGCAAAGGUAGCAUAAUCAAUAGCUUUUUAAUUGAAAGCUAGAAUGAAAGAUUAGACAAGAAAAUAGUUUUCUUUAUUUUAAUAAAUUUAAUUUAAAAUUUAAGUGAAAAUUCUUAAAUGUAUUAAAAAGACGAGAAGACCCUAUAGAUUUUUAUUAAUUAAAAUUUAUUUUAUAAUUUAUAAGUUUAAGUUAAUUUAAUUGGGGUGAUGUUGUAAUAUAAAAAACUUAAUUUUAGAAAACCAUAAAUAAGUGAAUUUUUAGAUUUUAAUUUUUGAAAGAAAAGAUUAAAUUACCUUAGGGAUAACAGCGUAAUUUUAUUUACGAGUUCAUAUCUAUAAUAAAGUUUGCGACCUCGAUGUUGAAUUAAGAUAAAAUAUUGGAGUAGAAAUUAAUAUUCUUAGUCUGUUCGACUAUUAAAUUC
rnacentral:rRNA from 1 species